AGUGAACGCUGGCGGUAGGCCUAACACAUGCAAGUCGAACGGCAGCACAGUAAGAGCUUGCUCUUACGGGUGGCGAGUGGCGGACGGGUGAGGAAUACAUCGGAAUCUACUUUUUCGUGGGGGAUAACGUAGGGAAACUUACGCUAAUACCGCAUACGACCUACGGGUGAAAGCAGGGGAUCUUCGGACCUUGCGCGAUUGAAUGAGCCGAUGUCGGGUUAGCUAGUUCGUGGGGUAAAGGCCCACCAAGGCGACGAUCCGUAGAUGGUCUGAGAGGAUAAUCAGCCACUGGGGAACUGAGAGACGUGCCAAUAUCCACAGGGAAGAAGCAGUGGGGAAUCUGGGAAAAAGGGCGAAAGCCUGACCAAGCCAGACCGCUGGGGUGAAGAAGGCCUCUGGUUGGUAAAUCCCUUUUGUUGGGAAAAAAAAGCACCAGGUAAAACCCCCGCUGUUUGGACGGUACCAAAAGAAAAAGCACGGGGCAACUUAGU
rnacentral:rRNA from 1 species